GACGAACGCUGGCGGCGUGCUUAACACAUGCAAGUCGAACGGAAAGGCCUGCUUUCCCUUGUGGAUUGCGGGUACUCGAGUGGCGAACGGGUGAGUAACACGUGAGUGAUCUGCCCCCAACUUGGGUAUAAGCCUGGGAAACUGGGUCUAAUUCCCGAUAGGACUGCAGGGUGGUGCCUGUGGUGGAAAACGAUUUUCUAGUGGUUGGGGAUGAGCUCGCGGCCUAUCAGCUUGUUGGUGGGGUAAUGGCCUACCAAGGCGGCGACGGGUAGCCGGCCUGAGAGGGUGGACGGCCACAUUGGGACUGGGAUACGGCCCAGACUGCUACGGGAGGCAGCAGUGGGGAAUAUUGCACAAUGGGCGGAAGCCUGAUGCAGCGACGCCGCGUGGGGGAUGACGGCCUUCGGGUUGUAAACUCCUUUCGACCGCGAGGAAGCCACCUGGUUGGAAGGGUGGUGACGGUAGUGGUAGAAGAAGCACCGGCUAACUACGUG
rnacentral:rRNA from 1 species